rnacentral:tRNA from 2 species
GUGGAUAUAGCCAAGUGGUAAGGCACAGGGUUGUGGCUCCUGGUAUCGUGGGUUCGAAUCCCAUUAUCCACCCCA